rnacentral:rRNA from 1 species
ACCCGCUGAAUUUAAGCAUAUCAAUAAGCGGAGGAAAAGAAACCAACAGGGAUUGCCUCAGUAACGGCGAGUGAAGCGGCAAGAGCUCAAAUUUGAAAUCUGGCCCCUUCGGGGUCCGAGUUGUAAUUUGUAGAGGAUGCUUCGGGUGCGGCCCCCGUCUAAGUGCUCUGGAACGGGCCAUCGGAGAGGGUGAGAAUCCCGUCUGGGACGGGGUGUCCGCGUCCAUGUGAAGCUCCUUCGACGAGUCGAGUUGUUUGGGAAUGCAGCUCUAAAUGGGUGGUAAAUUUCAUCUAAAGCUAAAUACUGGCCGGAGACCGAUAGCGCACAAGUAGAGUGAUCGAAAGAUGAAAAGCACUUUGAAAAGAGAGUUAAACAGCACGUGAAAUUGUUGAAAGGGAAGCGCUUGCGACCAGACUCGCUUCCGGGGUUCAGCCGGCUUUCGGGCCGGUGUACUUCCCCGGGGGCGGGCCAGCGUCGGUUUGGGCGGCCGGUCAAAGGCCCCUGGAAUGUAACGCCCCUCGGGGCGCCUUAUAGCCAGGGGUGUCAUGCGGCCAGCCUGGACCGAGGAACGCGCUUCGGCACGGACGCUGGCAUAAUGGUCGUAAACGACCCGUCUUGAAACACGGACC